rnacentral:rRNA from 1 species
CCUACGGGAGGCAGCAGUGAGGAAUAUUGGUCAAUGGACGAGAGUCUGAACCAGCCAAGUAGCGUGAAGGAUGACUGCCCUAUGGGUUGUAAACUUCUUUUAUAAAGGAAUAAAACGAGGCACGUGUGCCUUUUUGCAUGUACUUUAUGAAUAAGGAUCGGCUAACUCCGUGCCAGCAGCCGCGGUAAUACGGAGGGGGCGAGCGUUAUCCGGAUGUAUUGGGUUUAAAGGGAGCGUAGGUGGGUUGUUAAGUCAGUAGUGAAAGCCCGGGGCCCAACCGCGGAAUUGCAAUUGAAACUGGGUGGCUGGAGUGCAGGAGGGGCAGGCGGAAUUCGUGGUGUAGCGGUGAAAUGCGUAGAUAUCAGGAGGAACACCGGUGGCGAAGGCGGCCUGCUGGACUGCAACUGACGUUGAGGCCCGAAAGCGUGGGGAGCAAACAGGAUUAGAUACCCUAGUAGUU